rnacentral:lncRNA from 1 species
CGUACAUUUUCGCUCCCAUGGAACAGUCAAGCAAAAAAAUGUAGUCUUGAUAUUCCUCUGCGAAUUCUUCAAGCAUUCUGUGCACCUACGAGCGCAUGUCACUGCUAUGAAGCACGUAGAUCAGGAUUAGUUGUACGUGAAAAAAGGUCACAGCAUAUUUCUGCAGUUAGUUCAUCAAACGACGUUGGAUCUGAACGGAAAUGUGGUCAUUAAAGCUGUUGAGAUUGCUGCUUGCUGUGACUACUCUCAUUUUCAGUAAUGCAGAUAGUCUUGAAAGAAGCAGCCAUUGUUACAUACCACCCACCGUGGAAGGAUGCAGCAUUAUACGGCGAAAGUGGAGCUUCGUGAACGCAACAGGGAAGCUGCGAAUUGAACUUUGUGUGCUCCCAGCACAGCAAUGCAUUCCUAACAAAAGAGGAAUGUGACCGCGUUUGCCAGCCUGUCGCAGGUCCCAAACAACCUCCAAGAGAUUAUUGCGCCUACUGGAUUCAAAAUUUGGAUCAGUGCAGAUUCAAACGCGAAACAUUCUACCCUGACCGAUUUGGACGAAGGCAGAGGGUUCUUCUGUUCAGAUUCUGCGGCCCAUCAAGCUGGAAAUUGUUCGCUUACUACUUCCGCAGUGGCGAAUGCGCAGAAAUUGUGUUGCGAAGCUGAAUACCCAUGACAAAUGUACCGGUGACUCCUUUUCUUUUCGAAUUUCUGUAGGCUUACCGAAACCCAGCAUUUUUUCUUGCUAAAAUAAAAAAAUACGAACAGUCA